GCCGCUUUAGCACAGUGGCAGUGCGUCUGCCUCGUAUUUGAUCCCGUUGCGACUCUCAAAACGGUUCAGGACGACCAGCAGAAGGUCCAGUGUUCGAUCCACUGAAGCGGCA